AGCAGCCGCGGUAAUUCCAGCUCCAAUAGCGUAUAUUAAAGUUGUUGCAGUUAAAAAGCUCGUAGUUGAAUUUCGGGAUCAGUACGCCGGUCGUGCCUUCGGUACGUACUGGUGUCACUGAUUCCUCCCUUCUGACGAACCGUCAUGCCAUUCACUUGGUGUGGCGGGGAAUCAGGACUGUUACUUUGAAAAAAUUAGAGUGUUUAAAGCAGGCUCACGCUUGAAUACAUUAGCAUGGAAUAAUGAAAUAGGACGUUGAUCUUAUUUUGUUGGUUUCUAGGAUUGACGUAAUGAUUAAUAGGGAUAGUUGGGGGCAUUAGUAUUCAAUUGUCAGAGGUGAAAUUCUUGGAUUUAUUGAAGACUAACUACUGCGAAAGCAUUUGCCAAGGAUGUUUUCAUUAAUCAAGAACGAAAGUUAGGGGAUCGAAGACGAUCAGAUACCGUCGUAGUCUUAACCAUAAACUAUGCCGACGUAGGGAUCGGAUGUAUUGUUUAAUUUUUAAUGUACUCUAGUUCGGCGUCCGUUAACCGGG
rnacentral:rRNA from 1 species